rnacentral:ncRNA from 1 species
GUAUCUGAAAUCAAGUGUGACGACCCGCUGAACUUAAGCAUAUCAAUAAGCGGAGGAAAAGAAAUCAAAUGAGAUUUCCAUAGUAGCUGCGAGUGAACUGGAAUCAAGCCUAUUGCCAAUUCUUAUGUUUCGUACAAUAAGAGAUGAGGUGUAAAGGUGUCUCGUGUUGAACAGAUGCACGGCUUAAUUAUUAUUGAGUGAGUGCUCAGAGAAGGUGAAAAGCCUGUAGAGUUGUGUCUAUCUGUUGAAUCGGGUCACUGACGAGUCUAGUUGUUUGAGAGUACAACUUAAAGCUGGUGGUAAAUUUCAUCAAAGGCUAAAUAUAUGAGGGGACUAAUAGCGAACAAGUACCAUGAG